UACAGAGGGUGCAAGCGUUGUUCGGAAUCAUUGGGCGUAAAGCGCACGUAGGCGGUCUGCUAAGUCGGGUGUGAAAGCCCCAGGCUCAACCUGGGAAGUGCACUCGAAACUGGCGGACUUGAAUGUCGGAGAGGUGGUGGAAUUCCGAGUGUAGAGGUGAAAUUCGUAGAUAUUCGGAGGAACACCAGUGGCGAAGGCGACCACCUGGACGAACAUUGACGCCUGAGGUGCGAAAGCGUGGGGAGGCAAACAGGAAUUGAGAAACCCUUACGGU
rnacentral:rRNA from 1 species